rnacentral:rRNA from 1 species
CCGGGGUUUCUUUACCAGGUACUGUCAUUAUCAUCCCUGGCGAAAGAGCUUUACGACCCUAGGGCCUUCAUCACUCACGCGACAUGGCUAGAUCAGGCUUUCGCCCAUUGUCUAAGAUUCC